GGUUGAUGUCUCAGAAAACUGGAGUCUGAACGUAGAUGAUCUGCAUGAGUCUGUUUGGGGUCAUUAAGUUUGCUAACAGCAGGGGGGAGGGAGGACUCAGAGGUAGACGUGAUUUAAUUUUUGAUUCUUUUUCUGCCUGCUGCAGAUUUUCUUUAAUAGAUAAACAACUACAAAACUGUGUGCAUUUCUUGGUCUUUUGUUUUAUGCAUGUGCAUAUUCAUAAAGAUUAUAACAGGUCUUAACACAGAGUGAGCAGGAAGGAGUCUUACUUCUGUGAGUUUUAUAAAAACAUAUUAAUAGACUUGACAUACUCAAUAAACUGUGGAUAUAGAGCUUUUUCCGAUUUUAGGCCAGUGCAGCUUUGAGUGCCUCUAAAAACUCCCUUCACUGUCCCUUUGCCCCAUCUCUGCCUCACUGCAGAGACACAGAGGUAGAGAGACUGAGAGAGGCAAGGGUGCUCAGAUCAGGAGAGGGAGGGGGCAGAGUUUUUGGAAACGGGGAAGCGAGCUGCACUGCAGCAACUGGGCGUUGGCUCUGCCCGAGGAAGAGAGGCAGGAAAGGCAGAGGAGAGGGAUACAGACAGAGGUGCAGAUGGGGUAUGUUAAAUAUCUUGUAAGCAGACUCUGGCUUAAUUAUACAAAAAAAUGAAACUAUGAAGACAGAAACAUCUGUAUCUAUCUUUUUAAAAGCAAUUUAUCAUCCGAGGGGUCAACAUUUGUCAAUGGCAGGCUUAGAGUUGGGGUUUAUUUGAGGUCAAAAGUUCAGUGGGAUAGAGUGAUUGGCUCUAUUUAGUUAAAUUGGCAACUUUUGCAUUACUUUAACAUAUUUGUAAUGUGCAUUUUAUUAUCAGAGAGAUUUUAAUUUGAAAUUCUUCCUUAGGUUUAAGAGUUUGCAGAGACAACAAACACAUGAGGCUGGAGGGGGUGGUGGUGAGAUGGUGCAGAUGAUUCAAACUUCUGUUCAGCCUGAAGCUUUCCCUUUUUUUCUCUCUAAAUUUCAAAAAUGGUUUCAUUUGAUACUGAAUCACAGUAUCACAUAUCCACCUGUUGCAGCAGCUGGUCUGCUGUGUCUCUGCUGCACGUCUGCGUUCAGAAACUCUACGAUGACUUGACUGGAUAUCACUUCUUCCUAUAUGCUCGCAUAUUCUGAUGAUGCCCCAAAAUUAAUGCACCCUGGAUUCAUAUUUCAUCCAGUGUAUGCCUGAGUGCAUUAGCUGGGUCAAAUGAGGACAUGUCCUCAGCACACACACACAUUCGCACUCACACACUCUCACAAACACACACACGCAGAGAGCUGGAAAUUUCAGCCAGCUGUCGUAUUGUAAUUUAUAAAGCUGUAAAGUGAAGUGGCUCCCUUAUUGCCCAACCCACCUUUAAGCGGAGCAUCACCACGUUCAAUGCUUUCCCACUUUAUUUGCCUUCCCCUCAUGUCCACCAUGCUCCACUCCAUUCAUCUAUUUUUGUUUCUUCCUCUUUUAACUCACUUCUGUCCAUCUACCCCUCUUUCUGUCCAUUUCUUGUCUUUUCCUUCUCCUUUUUUUCUGUCUUCACUCUCUCCUGGCUGUGGAAAUGUGCUGUGUCUGCAGGGAGGUUAUUUGGUGCAGCAGACGGGGAGUAAUUGAUAAUGGUGCUGCUUUGGCUAUCAGGAGAGCUGUGUUUGCUUUUAGGGGGGAAUGAGACAGAGACAGAAAGGGGGGGAAACGCAGGUUAUUGAGGAUAAAGAGGCACAAAGACAGCCUGAAUCAAAGGAGGACAGACAUUAGAAGAAAAAGACGGAUGUUGAUAAUGUCAGAGAGAGUGAGGAUUGUACCAGGAGAUGACCAACAGUGUUUAGGAUUUGCAUUAUCUACUCUUGUUUGGCUCCUUUGUUUAAUCAUUUCCACUGUUACUUUGACAACAUUUCAGUUGCUGCAUGCCUGGAGUGCAUUUCUCAUCAAUCAUGUAUUUGUUUGUCACUCAACCAUCUGUUGUUUUAUGGGUUGAAUAAUUAACUGGGUUUUGUUAAUUAUGUUAAACAUGAUCAUUAUGUCCUCCUUAGUUGUGUUUUCAACUUAGUGGGAUAUGAAAGCUGAAACUAGACCUUUAAAUUAUGCGUAAUAUCAAAUAUUAAGUUGCAUUAGAUAUUUUAUUUUUUUAAUGAGGCCUCUAUUUAGACUUUAAUGUAAAAUAUUUACAAGGUUUUGAUUAUGUUCAAGAACAGCUUUGUUAAUGAAUUAGCUUUAGUAAGAAUAGGCAGAAUAGGCUAGUUAAAAUAAAGCCCUUCAUUGCCCCCUUACAACAGAAAUCAAGAUGCUACAGAAGAUGUUCGCCACCAGUGUCCUUUGGUUGCUCUUUCAGUGGUCAAAAUGUAAACAAAUUAACCUCACAUUGCUCUAUUAGUGGACUAAAUGUUAAUAAAGGGCCAUCUGAAUGUUCUUUCAGUGGUUAGAAUGUAAACAAAAUGACCUCACAUUGCUCUAUGAGAAGGUAAAAUGUAAACAAAGUGCCCACUGGUUGCUCUCUUAGUGGAUUAAACAUAAAGUACCCUCUGGUUGCUUUUUAAGAUGGCUAAAUGUAAGCAAAGGGCCCUCUGGUACUAUUUUGGAGUGUACGAAUUGAUGGAGACCUGGUGACCAUUUUUGCUGCAAUGUGAAAAUGUUUCAUAUAUCUAUAGGUUUUGAGAUUUGUAAGGAUUGCAGUUAAUUCCAUAUAAUACAAAGUAGUCUACAAUCCUUUAAAUGACACUGGUCAGAACAGUAAAAACAUCAGCUCCAUCUUAACACCCAAAGCCCUGAUUAGAAAGUUGUAGUUUGUGUUGAUUUUGACCCCUUGUGUGGCAUGCAGUCUCAGCUGAAUCUUUCUGUUCUUGUGGAAAUUGAACAUUUUAACAAGCAAAUAUAAUCUUGCUCUCUUGAAACAGUCAAAUACAUCACUAUAUGAUUACAUUUUUUGGAUCGCUGUCUUGUUUGUUGAGGUUUUUAGCCUCUCUGGUGAAAUGCUAGCAUAAACAGAGUGAAUAUCACUCAGACAAACACUGUAACUCUGUCAAAUACUCUUGAUGCCACUGUGGCUCAAUGAAAGUACUCCAGUUCACUUGGAAACCUGUCAGCUAUUUUGAAACGAAGUCUUUCCUUGGAUAAAGGCAGCGUCAAUUUUGUCAGACAUUUUGCUCCAAGGAAAAUAAGACAUUUGAAUUCAGCACAAGUCAAAACACAAAGCCUCUUUCUUCAGGAUGUGAACUGCUGUUGUUGCAGUUGUUUGUGAUUCAGUGUUUUCAGCACUGGUGCUUUUCUGCGUCAGACCUGCUGCUUCACUGAAUGUGCAACUGAAAUAUUGAUGAGGGCUCCCAGGCUAAACUCGGGCUCACUGUGGCCUCAGGUUAGACUGUAAUUAAAAUGAUAGACCCACCGAGGUAUAGAAACCACUACUAUAAGGUAUUUACAGCGGGCACAAACUCACUGUACUGCACUAUACUGUACUAUACUGUACUGUGGAUGCACAGUCACAUACUCUGGUACUGGCACAAACAGGCCAAAUGCACAUGUCCUGGAGCAACUUUACGUACAUUUAUGCAUCAUAUAUUCCCUAAAAUCUAAAUAUAUUCAGUUUAUCAGGACUGAAUAUUUAGCUCUCUAUUUUUAAACUUUUAUUUAUUUUGCAUGCAGAGUGGAUCCUCCAAACACCUCAAAAAACAUCUGACUUCAAACCUCUUUCCAGUUUCAAAGAGUUCAUUCUCAGAAAACAAGGUUUGAGCAGGACAAAAAUAACAAAGCUGCACAAAACAAGACAGCCUUAUGGGACUCUGCAGAGGAGAGACUUGAUGCACAUCAUUCACGGGGGAACAUUUGCCACACCCAAAAUGCAAAACACCCAGCCAUGUACAGCCCACAUCCCCUCACCCCCCUAUCUAACUCUCCCUCAACAAAGGAUAUGAGAUAUGCUGAUGAAGCUGGUAGGGCUCCCAUGGCUGAAGACGAAGCAUUUUGGCACUUCUGAGACAUCAGAGUGAGUCAGGAACUCUGGAGGAUGGGGAGGGGUGCGUGAGGAGGGGGUCUGUCAGUCUUUGUUGCUAAGACUGAGUUCCUUUCUCUAUUACUCUUAGAAGAUCUUUUUAAAUAAUAUAUGUGUCUGUUCAAGUUGUCCAAAUCGUCAAAUAUGUGAUAGGAUUUUUGAGGGUUUUUAAACAUUUUGCUGUCGGGGAGCUUCUGCAUUAACCGGUCAAAGUGAAAACCACAAGCCCUGAAAACACUUUGCAAAAACUCUGGGGUUUGACUUCCUCUCUGUCCUUUAUUUCUAGUCUGCAUUCAUUGUUGUUGUUGAAAUCAUUUUAAUCCACUUACAGCUCUGCUGAAAGCCAAAAAUGGUGGGUCAAUAAACCAUUGGUCAGAAGAGAAAACAUAAAUGGAUGAGAAAGUCUGAACAUUAUGUAAACUGCAGAAUAAAUGUGGAUUUGAUCAAUUUGGCCGUAAACAACACACCCCUGCAUAGCUGUCACAUGCAGCAUCUUUAAAAGUUUGGUUUAGAUUGUUUCCUUUUUUGCUCAGGAGGGUCUACUUGUCUCAUGAACAGGGCUGAGGCGUGUUUAAGUGUAUCUUGAAUAUGAACUUGCUUCACUCACAGAGAUUUUUCUGGUAUGCAGCAGUUUUUUUUCUGCAGCCUGUUUUAGUCUCAUGAAAUAUGCAGAGUUAAGCUCAGUCGUUGCCUUUUACACCAUCAGGGUUGUGUGACUUUGAGCUUUGUGACCCAAACCAAAGAGACGGCUUACUCAACCGUAGUACUACUCCACCUCUGUACAGGCUGAGAGCCUCGCAGUGCAGUGUGUAGCAUGAAAUGAGAGGUUAGUGAACUACAGAGGAGAAAUGCUCUUUUUCUUGCAUUUAUAUCCAAUAUGUACUAGGGAUUUGGUGCAGAUGUCUCAGCAUGCACUUCUUAUGAACUGAGCAUUAAAGUCAAAGCUAGAGCUAACAUAUAGAUCUGUUUAUUGAAUGUAGGAUUUCCAUUGAAGGUUAAGUCAGACAAGGUGAACAGGACUUCAUGGGGACUUCUGUCAGCAUUCAGCUCGCACAUCUUUAAAAAUAAAUGAAGUGAAUGUGAAAACACAGGGGAGGAUAGUACUUUUCAUGUCUGUGUCAUCAUUCAGGAACCCUAAGUCAAGAGUUAAUUAUAAUAUGAUUAAAAGUGUACAGGUCUGCAAAAUGCUCAGUGAACAUAUUAAUGAAUUUAUUCUUCCUUUAAAAAAAUGUCUAAUGUCAAAACUUUUAAAUAAUAGGCAUUAUCAAAACUGUUUAUGGUAAAGUUUGUAGGCGCAACUAAGAGACGCACUCACUAGCUUUGCUACUGUUGCAUGGAAUUGCAGGACAGGGUCCACUAUUAAAUUACUGUCCAUGUUGUUUGCAGUGUUACAGUGUUGUGCAAGUACACCCUGACCUUAAAACUAAAACCUCUUGGGGAAAUAUUAAGCCAAAGGUUCCAACCUGGACUGAAUGUACAGGGAAAUGUAUGACGAUGUUGGAGAGAUGUUUUUCACAUCCUCUAAAAAAGUUAACCGCAAAAAAGAAGAUGACAGAAAAAAUAAAAAUGGAAACAAUUAUUUCUGCCAAAAUGUCAGCAAACAGAGGCGUCUACCCCUGAUAUGAACCUACACUGAACCUUUCUAUGCAUGACACCUGUCACAGCAAAUUAAGAACAUAAUAUUCGUCAGAUUUGUUCAAAUUAGCACCAAAAAAACAAACAAACGUGUAAACACUUUCCCUUUAAAUUGAGAUAACAGCAAACAAAAUCUUUUUUUUUUUUUUUUACGACAAAUACUACUAAUAAUAACCAAUAAAUAAUACAUAUUCACCUAUACAGUGAAGAAGCUAGGCUCGUCAAGGGCUGCAGUGUUGAAAAUCCUAUAAAGACUAUGUCGUCCCGAAGGGAAAUCUAGCUCAUAACAAAGCACAAAACAGAAUAAAUUAACAUGGAAAGUUAAGUUUAAAGAAGUAAUUUACAUGUAUAGGUGACACCAUGAGAUCAAACUCGGGUAGAAAGCUGUGUGAUGGGGUAAAAAGGAAGUGAAGAGUUGUUCAUUUUGACUCAAAAUAACUCUAACUUCAAGGAUUUUCAUGUCAGGGUGAAGCUCAGACACAGAGCUGAUGUAAGACUCCAACAUCCAUGAGUCAUCUCCAUUAGGGGAGCUCCCUCCUUCCUUCCCUCCCUCCAUUCCUUCUUGCUGCUAUCCUCUGUCCUUUAUCUACCUUAAUGUGUCUCGGCACUGGUGGCAAGUACACAUAUUUAUCUCUCACAUAAUGCAGAGUCACAUUUACAGCGUUCGUUUCAUGAGCAGAGGAACUUGUUCAGUCGGGCUGAAGUUUUAAUUUCUUGCAAGACUCUCUCGAUUUAAUCAUUUUUAUUAUUGUCUCAGUGUGACUUUAUAACUCCUGAGCUAUUGGAGGUAAACGUAAAGUUUUUACAGAUGGGUUCAGACUGCGGAAUAUGAGCAGAAGGGGGUUUGUAAAAAAGAGACAUACAGAAGAAGGAAAAUUAGAAAUAAAACAUAGGGAUGAGAAAAGAAACAGAGUGCAGAGAGAAAGAGAGAAGACAAUAAAGCAAAGAAAAAAGAGACUGGAAGGAACUUUUUGACUUUGACCUUCAUCUCUUUCUUUAAGCACAGCUACCAUGGGACAAGCUGUCAGUCUGUGGCAAUAUAAAGCACUUAAAAUAGAGCACAAACACAGACCUUCAUACAGCUACACUUGUGAGUCUGCUCACUGUUGCAAAACAUCACUAACUUUACCAUUAACUCAAACCCUUAGGUCAUGUCCAAGACCUCAAACCGCACUUUGAAGAGAGAGAGAGAAAGUGGCCAACAUGUGCUCACUUUCAUGUCUGGAACUCAGAGUGAUCUUCACAAUAAUAGGAGGACCAAGAGUUCAUAUAAAUUCAGCACACGAGCCACACCCCAACCCCUUAAGAAUAUCAAGGUAAAGGAAGUGUGAUGUAACUGGCGGUAUGGUCGUGCUCACUGAUUUGCGGAUAACACACAAACUUACAAACACACUUGAUACCCCUUCUUUUUCUAUACAUGUCUCAUGUAUAAUGGUACAACAAGUAAACACUGUCAUACACACACACAAUUCUGUCUCGAGGCAGACACACUGACAGUAGGGAUUACACACUGUCUCUGAAUACUAAGUGGUACUUAGCAGGAUUGGCAACAGGCGCCCCGCACUGCUGCUGUGUUGCUGAACCUAUUACUGUCUGUAAAUACAUGUACCCUUAUUCAACCCCAGCCUUUCCCUGAAUCACUAUUUAAUCACAACUCUGAUCCCAAAGUAAGAAAUCGUCAAUGAAAUACUGUUUAAAAGCAGGGCAGAGAGAGUGAAGGGUUCGAAUGUUUCUUAUUUUACUGACAGGACAGUGUAUUAUGAGGCUCCAUCAGUAGCAUCAAAAAAGUACAAGCAUAUUUUGUGGCCACAAAAUAGGGAACUGUCGCCAAGAAAUAGUCUCAGCUCAUCUCUCCUCUCAUUCAUUUCACUCAGGUAAUAAGUCCACGCCAAUGCAACUUAAAUUACCUUUGGAUGGAGUCAAAAAUCAUCAUACAUGAUUUAUGGCACUGGUGACAAUGUUGAAUCCAGCUUUAAACUGCUGAGCUGUCUGUGAACAGCAGAAAGCUGGAGUUGCACCACUGCAGGAUGUAUUAUGAUCAAGUUAGAGACUUGAAUAGUUAACAGACGGUUGGUAUUGGUAUUUAAGUUUACACAUUUUAAACAGUCCUAACAAAAUGACAUGUGACGAGGUAUUUUGUGGCCACAAAUUGUCAUAUUUUCACAUAUGUCAACAGAGAGGCUCUGUUCUUUUAUUUAGCAUAAAUUGAGGAGAAAAGGGUAAUUUUAUGCUAGUUAUGCUUUCUUGUUACGUGUGUAUAUUUCAAGUGUCAUGAAUUGAUUUGUUGUCCAAAUCAAUCACUGCAAAAGUUCAUCUUUAUAGUGAGUUAUCCCAACAAAAGUUAUGUCAUGACACUUAACAAAAAGAGCAGAUCUAGACUUUGCUGUAUGUCAUAUAAUUAAACAAUCAACAAUUAUCUACCGUUGACCCAUCAUGAGCAACCAACAUUGGUAGAGGAAGAGUUCCUUUAACAGGUAGAAUCCUCGAACAGGACCAGACUCACUGGUGUAAGCUGUACGCCAGGUGACAGACAGACGGACAGACAUAGAUAGAUUAGAUAGAUUAGAUUAGAUAGAUUAGAUAGAUAGAUAGAUAGAGAGAUAGAUGAGGACUUGUUGAGUGCACCAGUUUGAAAAUUUAGACAGAGAGCAUCCCUUUCACUGCAACAAUGAUGUAUUCAUGCUGCAGCAACAGAUCCAGUUACAUAACAGGUUUCAAAUGAGCUGUUAGCCAACAACACACACACCAACUCCCCCCUGCCAAAACCUCAAGGCCUCUGCUCUCACUCCCCCAUUCUUUUCUCCUCUCUCUCUCUCUCUUUCUCUCUUUUUUUAUUUCUUUGCUCUCCCCUACCGCCUCUCUCCCCCUCUCAUUCAGCUGUAUCAUGAUUCUGCAGCUCAACCUCUGCAGCAUGACUCUACUUUCCUCUCUGCGUCUCAGUCUGCCUCUCCAGCAGGCCAUUGCAAAGUCCCGGCAAAAACACUGGGAUGGCUUAAAAUAACUGCAGGCAGACCUAUAGUACCCAUUCCCACACAGUGGCAUAGACUCCGGCAGUUAUAUUGUUUCAUGAUGCAGUCAUUAGAGCUUCAAAGAUGCCCCUGGACAAAAAUAAGACAGCGGUUUAAUGGAGUUUUUGGUGUAGAAAAGUUACAUAAAUGCCCUGUGGCGACAGACAAACUAAUUUCUCACAAAAAUUUCUGAUGAAAUUAAGUCUCUGUUUGUGAUUUUGGAUUUAUAUGAACCCAGCAGUGCCAGUGAAAUUAAUUUGAAAAAAUUUAUUCUCACUAACUUAAAAUAAGGAAACAACAAAAGGAUUUUUUAGAGCCAAAAUGGAGGGAAGAAAGGUUUUUCUACAUGAGGUUGAAAGACAUGACAAAAUUUAAAAUCUGCUUUAUUAGCAUUAGCCCUUAAGUGAAUCACUUCCCUCCCUUUUCAGAAACACAGAAGUUAUAAUCCCAGCAAUUUUCUCAUCCUGAGGCUGUUCUUAACCCUUUACUGGGUUUUAAAAGCAUGUGAUCCAAGGUGUAAAACAGCCGCAAUGUACUGUACUGCCUGUCAUUGAGUUAAAAUAAGUACUUUUUGGGGCUGAAAGAUUUUUACUUUUGGGGACUGCCAUUGGAUGACCCUAAAAAAAAACUAAUUUUUGAUAGUCUUCAUUGAUGUAUACAACAUAAUGAGUUGUUCUGAUGUAGCUGUUUCAGUACUUUAAGGGGAUCUAACCUUUUAGUCCCACAAGUCACGAUGUGAUGGGUCAAGUUGUUGGUAAAGGCUUAUAGGCAUAUGUAUCAAUUUAGCUGAUUACAUUCAUCACAUCAAUAUACCAGGUGAAGAGUGAGUACCUAUGCCCUGUUGAUGUACAGCUACAUAUUUAAGUUCAUGUUUCUCUUCAUCUCACAGAAAAGAGAGAGAUGAACUCUGAUCACUCAGUCCUCUAAAACUUCAAGCUGUCAGGCUGAUUGAAAUACUUUUGGAAGCUUCAGACAACACCAUUUGACAUUUCCUGUACAACACAGCCUUAGACUCUGUCAGUGUGGUUCAUUUGAGUAGUACAAGCCUAGCAGCUUUAGUUUAAUCUUCAUUCUUUUGCCAUUUACAUGCACUGGCACUGACAUUUCGGUAACUUUGUGAGCCCAGCAACUGCAUCCUUGUUCAUCCAUCAGUAGAUUAGCAUUUCAGUGAGGGAAUAUCAAAGGGGUUGGGUCAUUUUUCCUUCAUACUUUCAUUUGAAAUGAUGUCCGAAGUGUUGUUUUUUUUUUCAGAAUAUAACGCCUUCAGUAUAUUUAGUAUUGAGUUUCAUGUUUUUACUUUAUUUAAACACCUCAUUGAGGUUAAAAAUCUCUUUCGCAAGAGUGUCUUGGCCAAGACAGCAGCAUGUUCAACAGUUCUACACAAACACAUGCAGUCAUCAAACACAUAGACAAGACAUGAGACAAAAAAGUCUAUUCCAGACAGCCAAUUCCACUUGGAUUGCCCAUGUGAAGAUAAAGCUCAUGAGUCAAAACAUCUGCAGCCAGACGUCUUUGCCUCCAAGUUGCUCAAUAUCUUCUCAAAAGUGUCCAGUGAAACCGGAUCUUCAAGUUUCAAGUCUUUCUCUCAAAGUUAUCUGACUGUCAGCAAAUUUUAAUUAUGCCUUGAAAUUUUGGACCAGCCCUGGAAAAGUGUCUGUUGUCUUUGUUUGAAUAGAAUUCAUGCUUCACAUUUAUAAUACACACAAAGAAAAACACACAGAGAGAGGAACACAUCCAAGUACUGUACAACCAGUGAUGACUCACAUUAUUUAGAUUCAGGUGAGUCAUCAGAGUCCAACAGAGACGACCUGGGUAGCUUUGCCAGCUUCUUUCAUCCUCCCACUUCCUCCGGAUAGUGUUCUGUUGACACCCAAAGGUUUCAUUAAACUUCGCUGCAGAAACAAUAUUCAUUUACUACAGUGAGAGUACAAAUGUGAUGAAAGCGGUGCUUACUAGGACAGAUUUCAACAUCAGACUUUAUGUUUCAAUACAUCCUGAGCCUGCUGCAAAAUCUGACUCAUAAAGUUCUUCUGGUUGGUGUGCACAGACUCCAAAGUCACGUGUUUACUUUGUCAAUCUGCCGAUCUGUCACUUCAGUCUUCAGCUCAUCUAUUACCAUCACUCUUUAUAAAGCCUCUGAAAAACGCAAUGAGGUUAUACUUGAAUGAAUCAGGAGCUGUGAGUGUUCAGACUACAGAGGGCAUAGCUUUAAAAUACCUCAAAUAAUGAAGGAGGAUUGAAACAUAAAAAGCCAGUCAGUGAAUGUGCCUCUGUGUAGGUGGAGGCAGCAGAGGAGGGAGGAGGGUUGCAGUGAAGGAGGGUGAUGAGAGACUCUGCAGAUUAAAGACAUAACGUCACAGCGCAGAGAUGGUCCAGGAUAUAGAAGAUAGAUGAACAGAGCUCAGGAAAUUAACUCAACUCUGUCUCUCUAUCACAGACAUAAUUAAAAAGCUGUUUUUGUGGAGAGAAAUGUUUGCUUUCCUGAGUGUCUUGUAGAUUAAGAACAGGAUGGAUGAAAUAUUCAUUUUCCUUUAAUAAAUUAAAAGAGAACAAAAAAUGCCCUGACCUAACAGCUUCAGUACAAAAGCUUAUUUUCAGAGUUAUGUAGCCUCCUCGAAAGAGCAGGAUCACAUGCAUGACUCAGGUAAUUGGCACCCUGGGGUAACAAGACCUAGAAGACCUAAAGGUUCACCCACUAGGAGACUGUUUGUCUCCCUGAUGAAUGUUUCCCUCUAUAGACAUGCAUUAAGGUCACAGAGUUUGUGAUUGUGUUGUGAAGCAGCUCUCUCGAAUACAGCCUGAUUUUUGUAGUGGGGAGGGGGGAAACACAGACACUGGUGAAAACAGUUACAGGGCCCUGAUUCUAGUCUUCUGUUUUUCUUCUGCUGAGGUCUCGCUUACCCCGUCAGACGAGUAAAGCCGCUGACUGCAGCUUUAAAUACUUAAAGACUCAUCAGGAGGCCAGACCUUGUCAGCACGUGUGACGAGACAGAAAGCAAGAAAAAGACAUAAACACACUCAUGAUGUGAGCGGUUUGCGUGUGCGAGUUAACAUGUUCGACACAACAUAUGAUCCUUCCAUUUGGGUCCACAACAGCUUCCUGCAGCAACAGCACAACACAGAGAUCUCCCCUGCAGGCAUCGGGUCGCUUUAUUUGCAAAGAAAAACAUGUGUUAACGAAUUUGUCUCGAUGACAUUGGCUCGGGGACUUAUUGACAACCUACACAGGCACACGAUACAUGCUGACAACCGUGGCUCAGAGACAACAGGGAGUCAUAUAACAAGAAAGAGGAUGACACACACAGAUCGGAGGGAGAAGACAGCACAGAGCUUUUCAUAUGGCUCACAAUCUAAAUGUACAGAAUGGAGACGAAAAUAUUGUUGCUUUACUGUUUGAUAAAAAUAUCAUGUCUUCAUGAAUCUAAGAAAACUUGGUAACGCUUUCUUUUAUGGUACACUUAUCACCAGCUAAUUGACAGGUAAUUACCUACUAACAACAUGAAAUUAUCUGGUAAUUACAUGAUAACUACUAAAUCAAUACUGUCUAGUUUUCCUUUUUUUUUCUUUUUUCUAUGAAGCUCCAUUUUUAAAAGCUAUUUGGGGUUCUUCUUUUCUAUGAUUGACACUUGAUACAACUUAUGGGCGUGCGAAGAUUGGUAAUAAUUAUGAAUUAUUACAAUUUCUGGCAGAUAAUUUAACAGACAAAUUGAUGUCAUGCGUCUCUUAAUUGCAGUUUGAGCUAGAAUCAAGCUCAAUAGUUUAGUUAAGAAUUGUGGAACCCUCUAAUUUCAGGUUUGUUGUCACACUGCUCCGACUGUGGGUAUGGUCACCUAUUUUUGAUACAGGAAAACUGAAGGGGUCCCUGGAGUUGUUGGCCCACAGUCUUUGAGGAACAUCCAACUUGGUGUCAUGAUCUAGACUUUAAAGUGGUGGACAGACACUUGGUGGUAUAGUACUCUAAAACAUCCUGUAUCACAAAAGUACAAAACAAUUAGCGUGGAAAUACUAUCUCUGCAGACCAAUUCAACAUGAUCUAUCUAGCACGACAAAUGUUCAGUCCUUACACCCAAGUAUUUUUUAUAAAGAGAUGCUUGCUUCUUUAUGUAACAGAUAACAAAAGGACUAUUAUGAUCGACAGAUGGUGAACUAAUUUACAUUUCUCGACACGAGAUAAAACCUAACACCAAACUUGUAAUCAGCAAUUUUCAACAUCUAGUGCUGUCAUUUGUAUUAUUAUAUGCUUUCAAAUGAGGAUAAUCACACUGCUACCAGAUAAAUGACAAUUUAGGGUAAUAUGUGGGGCAGACCAAAAAGCUCUUGAGGUAAAUGAUGGGCUUGUGGCUGGAGCUCACAAAGCUGAAUAACCAGUCUGAUGAUCAGAUAGGACUUGACAUCAUUUAUAUGCUGCAUUGAGGGCAAAUAACAGUAUAAAUCAGGGGUUACGCGCCACAAAAUAAGGGUUUUCAUUUAUCACAUAGGAAAAUCAGAGCGUGUGUGUGUGUGAGUGUGUGCAGUGAAGUUUCAGUGAGUGUAAGUCUGUGUACUUUGAAUUGAGUGUUUAUUAGGGUAUUCAGUCAACAGAUUUUUACCCCUUCUCCCCUCGCUGAAGCUAAUUUAUUUUAUUGUGUAAUAUUAUUAAAAUGCAACAGAUUAAAAUUGAUGUUACCAUGUCUGUGAGGAAGACCAGGCAAAAAAAAUGUGUUUUUUUAGUGCUGGCUGUCCAAACUUAUUAAAAGAGCAACUUUUUUUAAUUAUUAUUUUUAUUUUUUUAUUUUUAGUAUUUGCACAUCUGUUUGACCAGGAUUGAGCAUGCAAUUUACAGACACUGGAGAGUAAAUAAUUAUAACUUUUUCCUUUACACCUAACUUUCGGAUAUAAAUAUGCUUCACUUUUAGGGAUUACGUGCUUGUGUGAAAUAUUGAGGUAGGCUAUCAGUAAUGAGUGUUACUCUCUGUGCAGACUGGCAACUGUGAGUGUGUGUGUGUGUGUGUGUGUGUGUGUGUGUGUGUGUGUGUGUGUGUGUGUGUGUGUGUGUGUGUGUGUGUGUGUGUGUGUGUGAGACAUAACUACUGAUAGAGUUUUUGCCAAUCCCUUCCCCUUGGUGAAGACGAUGUGGAGGGGUUUUAUUUCAGUGGCUACUUAGCUGUCCUCUGAGAAUCUCAUAUGAGAAGAGAUGCUGCUGCCUCUGUCUGAUAAAAACACACUGAGAGACAGAGAGAGAGAGAGAGAGACAGAGAGAGAGAGAGAGAGAGAGAAAGAAUAACGAAAGAAGGAAAGAGAGAGAGAGAGAGAGAGCUACUGAUGCAUUGCAGAUAAACUGCAGAUCCUAGUGUAACUCCUCCCUGUCUUUUUUCAUAUCCACCCCCCCAAUCCACUCUUGUUGCUCUUUUUACGCCCUGCCAUCGUUCAUGACAUCAUCAGCACCUCCAGACCUCCUACUAACAUCACCCCAUCCACUAUCUACUUCCUGUCACACCCAUGCUUACCUCUUCAUUUGACCUUAAAUCACCCCAUCUCUCUUUAGAUCCAGCAGAGCUGUGACCUCUGCAGACCGCUUCGGAGGUCGAACAGUCUAGAUGUUGUUCUAGAUUUAGUCAGUGAUAACCAUGGCAUUUUACUUUUACUACAAGAACUAGUACAAGAGCUAAGUGAGGCUUUCAGCUGUACAUGAAACACAACAAUGGUACUUAAACCUGCCUCUUUAGAAUUAGGUAUACAGUCUUAAACUGAUAGACGUGGAUCUCAUUCAAUCUCAAGAAGGAAUUUAAUCAAAAACCCACUUACAUAACCUUUAUUGGUCUUAUUGUAUUGAUAUCUUAUUGUAUUAAUCUGACUUAUGUAAGAGAUUCUUACAUUUACCAGAGUUUUCUUACAUGGGAUUUGGUCUUAGCUGAUAACAACAUCUAAGAGCACCUUGAGGCGCAGGGUAAAAUUAUUAGAUUUUUAGUUUUCCUUCAAUCAGCACAACUUAAUGGUGUAUAUGCUACACAAUUUAAAUGUUAUCAGUUUUUUAUUUCAAUCAUGCAACGUGUGGUCUAACUGCAAAUGAGGAUAAACUUGGCACAUUUUGGAAAAAAAGAACUAGUUUUAUCAGCCACCAUGGACCUACAAGCAUAAGAUAUUCACACCUCUCUCUCUCUCUCUCCACUUAAUCUCAAUGUCGAUCAAAAAACUUCUGCCAGCUCUGUCACUCUCUGUCAGGUACACACGUCUACUUCCAUCUGUGAUACGCGCAUGCAACUCUCAAUAAUGAAAGGAAUGAAGUCAGAUGGUUCACUCCGCUACUUUUAGGCACACUAUGCUGCAUGUGCUGUUCCAUUAUUUUGCAUGGUUUUAGCCCGCUAAAAACCUCAGAAUUAGAAAAACUUUUCAAAGAGGGGGUAUUAUGCAUUUUUCCCCAGACUCUUUACUUCCUGAUACCUCUCUAAUAGCUUCACAUGAUUUUCAGAUCAAAGAAAGCCUCCUGUUUCUCACAUUUCUCACUGUAUUUAAAAAUCUUUUUUUUCAGCCUCCAUAGGAAACGCUUUGUUUUAGCUGCUGCCUCUUUAAGUCCACCUCCUUGAGCCUACUCUCUUCUGAUUGGCCAUCUCGCCAAUGCUUGACCAAGGGCAGAGCUUUAUAUUUUUGCCCCAUCCCCUCUUGUGUGGUCAAUUUGUAGAGCAGCUGAGCAGCAUUAACCCGUUCCUCUGUUCUGCUCUGCACAGAUGAAACACUAAGGAGCCUAUUGUGAUGAUGCAAUUACUGUAGUGAGUCUCGCAUUUUCUAACAAGGUCCCAUUUUGAGCAGUUUACAUCUAUUUUCCAAGAUUGUUACAACAUGAACCCCCCAAUAACUUUUAAAAAUGGGGCUGUGCAGAAAAAAGAGGACUUGAGCACAAACCAGUCUUACAGUAACUACAUGUCAACAUCACAACCAGGGGGGAGAAAAAUUUAUAUUUUGUGUAAUAAAUCUCUAAAGUUUGUCCACAGCUACAUAGGGAUUGCUGGAGGAGACAGGUUUAUGACCUAUACUGCAGCAUGUCACCAGAGGGUGCUGUUCUCAUGGUGGCUUCACCCAGCGAGUAGGCAGACAGCGUCCAUUCUAUAUACAGUCUAAAGUUUCACCAAUUGGGAUAAACAAAGUUUUCUAAUUCUAGAUUGAUCAGAUUUAAGGUCUGUGAUCGGAUCAUCUGUCGUGUUGCUUUUGUGUUUUAGCAAUAAAUGCUAUUAGUGGAUUUUGACCAAUUAGAAUCAAGUAUGUUUUACAGCCAGCUGAUUCAAUUUUACUACUGCUUCUACUUACUACUACUUACUAAUACUUGUGUGAACUUUUAAGCUCUGUCUGUGCUGCCACAGCUGUGUCAAAAAGCCCUAAAAAUAACUUAAAAGCUGCAUCUUUGCUUUUGGGUUUCCACUUUCCACAUUUACAGUCUUGAUGAUAAACUGUGUACAGACACCAAAAACAUACCAGUGUGCAGCUGUAAAAGUCCUCAAGACAAAGACUCCUACUUCUGUGAAGGCUAUUGAAUAAUAACUUACUUAUUGUUUGUUUUAAUAGACCGAACAACACCAGACUUUGAAACUACGUUAUGUUUUCACAAGAUGUACUGAACACAGCCAUAUUAACCUUUUCCCAGAUCAAACCAUUCAUAUUUCAUCCUUAAAAGUUUUUAUUGUCUAACUUCAGUUUGCAAAAUAAGGUAAGAUUGUUCAUCUGCACAGCAUCAUAAAACCCAGCACUGGGACACUGAGGUAGAGAGGGCUGAAUUACAAGUAUGUAACAGAUAAAGAAAGCUUAGAUCCCCACAUUCCCAUAGUCGCAGGCAGUGUAACAACAGGGACUUCUGAGGUCAUGUUUUUCACUAUAUAUUCUGUAACCUUCAGGACAUCCCGCCUGUUUAUAGAUUUUCACUGCCAACAUGUGCAUCAGCAGAGUUGUAAGAAGCUCAGGGAAAAAAAAAAAAAAAAAAGAGUUGAAUCAAUAUACAACCAAGCUCACAUGGGAGCUGAACAUGCAAUAAACUGACUCCUCCUUUGUCAAGACUCUGAAGUGCACACACAUGCACAAAAGCAAGCAUACGGGAAAAAGGCAGGGAGGCUUCAAACUGUUUGGACAGGGAGAUGUGAGGCCAACAUUUCUGUAACUGAAUGUGACAAACUAGUGAAAAACUACUUGUGUGGGGCCACUUGAGCAUUGAGGCACAUUCUCAGCCUUGGAUUUCUACAUGUGUGUGCACUAAGAUCUUUUGUGUGUUGUCAGCUCAGCGUUAGUAAUGACAGAAGUAAUCGUAGAUGCUUAUGUUGUACAGGAUAGAAAAGCAGUAAUGUUCUCAUGGGAACAAAAGGGGGCAUGGAUGUGACAUGGAUGGGACAGAGGGGAGGUGAUAAGAUAACAGAGAGAGAGGGAAGGCAGGAUGACAGAGGGGAGCUGGGAGUAGGCUGGAAGAAGAGGACGUGAUUGCAAAGAAGGUGAGACUGUUUUUGAAAAUUGUACAAAGACAGGAAGAAAAUCACAGAGACGGAAUAAGAUGUGCAAAGCAAUCAAAAGGAAGACAAAAGAAAAGUACCAAAAAUUUAAAACAGUGAAAAGAGAAAAAGCAAUCAAAAGAACAAAACAGAGGAUGCAGAAAAAGACGAGGAGAUAAGAUCAGCGGUGAUAAAGAGCAAAGAAAAGCAGACACUGUUCUUACUGGUCUCCUGACUAGCUCAGUAUUUAUGGCUGUAUAUGUGUCGAGUCAUUCUGUCUGGCCACCUGCACUCAUUCAAAAGUGUCCUUUAUGUCUCCCUCAAGCUCAUCCUGUCCUCAUACCUGGACUAUAAAACAGGAUGAUUGCCAGUCCUUUCCAGAACAACUUUUAAGACCAUCGGCGACUAUCAGCACAAAGCAUAUCGACAAACACCACGAUGAU